rnacentral:lncRNA from 1 species
UCUAAUGGUCAAGCAAUGGUUGAAGCUAGAUGCACUCGAGAUUAAUACUUGGGCGGUAGAGCGCAACACGAACAUUUGAUGGACCAAUAUGUCGAAGGCCAACACUGCGAAUCGGAAAGCCAUGUCAUCCCUAACGACUUGGGUUAUUUGAAACGAAAGAAAUUCUCGAGUCUUUAGAAAGAAGCCCAUACCGCCCUUCCAUAUUCUCAAGCUCAUAGAAGACGAGGCACAACUACGGAUCACGGCGGGAGCUAGACAACUGAGCAACAUCAAGCCGCGAAAGUAAUCUCGGAUGUAUCUUCUAUCACUGUUGGG